rnacentral:rRNA from 1 species
CUGGCUCAGGAUGAACGCUAGCGGCAGGCUUAACACAUGCAAGUCGAGGGGCAGCGUGGAGUAGCAAUACUCUGACGGCGACCGGCGAAAGGGUGAGUAACGCGUGAGCAACAUGCCCGGUAGUGGAGAAUAGUCGAUGGAAACGUCGCGUAAUACUCCGUAACAUAGAGAACCGCAUGAUUUUCUAUUAAUAGAUUUAUCGCUACCGGAUUGGCUCGCGUACCAUUAGCUAGUUGGCGGGGUAACGGCCCACCAAGGCGACGAUGGUUAGGGGUUCUGAGAGGAAGGUCCCCCCACAUUGGAACUGAGACACGGUCCAGACUCCUACGGGAGGCAGCAGUGAGGAAUAUUGGACAAUGGCCGAGAGGCUGAUCCAGCCAUGCCGCGUGCGGGAAGAACCGGCCCUAUGGGUUGUAAACCGCUUUUGUUGGGGAGCAAUAAGGUCCACGAGUGGAUCGAUGAGAGUACCCAGCGAAUAAGCAUCGGCUAACUCCGUGCCAGCAGCUGC